ensembl:ncRNA lncRNA:CR32658 long non-coding RNA:CR32658
GCUCGUCCGGAGCACAUCUCAUUUCGGAAAAAUAAAAAUGUGAAAAAAAACACAGAAAAUUUUUAGUAAAAUCAAAAAAAAGAAGUUUUGGUUUGCUUCGCUUCGCUUCGGUUUACUUGGGUACAAAAGUGAAAUAAACUGGAUAACUACACCUUAUACAUACAUACUAAUAAUACACAGAAAAUCACACUGUCAUGCAGUUCAAAUAUACACCAACUGAGUGCAGUUGGUAAGUUUUGGGUACUUACACACCUUAUACUUCUAGCGCCAACUGACCUAGUGAAUCCCGUUCACCAUUCCCGGAUGUUAAUUGAUUGCUUAGUCUAGGAAUCAAUUGCAUUAACAAGCCAGAAAUAUUCGCCAUUGCUUUUUGUAACGACGUGGAAGCAAUGGCAACGGUUGCCAAGCAACCGCUUUACACAAAAAGACUGAGAAACGCACACUUGAUGUUUGGCCAACGGGAUUACUAUGGUAUCCGGCUUUUCAAAACGAUGGUACCGGUCCCAUUGGACAAGAGGAUCGCAUCGUGGCGCUAAUUAAAAAAUGGGUUUUCGCUCCGCUUGCUAAUAUAUUGCCGUUCCCCCAUCAUUCCCAUCAUCUUAUCGCUUGGGCUUGGCUUCCUUCGGAUUCAAUUGGGUCAGCUCAAAAUGCAAACUAACUGAAGAUCGUUCCGCCAGGCCAUCAUUAGGAUAGAUAUAGCGGAGCUCUCAAUUCGAUGGUACCAGUCCCCCGAUGGACGAGUGGAUUGCAUCGGUUUGGCCGUUAUUAGCAUUUCGUUCGUUCGUUCGUGUCUAAAUAAACGGGAUUCAUUGAACGCAAAUUA